GGGGCUGACUGGUUUUGACAGCAAGAUGAAACCGGUAGUAAGCAUGUCGGGCUAUGGAGAUGUCGCCCGUUAUCAAAGAUGCUUUAAACUAUAAUUGGCGAAAAUAAUUUCGCGCUUGCCGCCUAAUCACACGGUUAGUGGAUUGGAGCUAAUCACAGCGUAAGACGCGUGAGCAAGCCAUCUCUCGGUUCCCAUGUCUGGAAGGAACCGACUCAGAGGUGUCGAUAAAUCCGGACUAGUUGGUAAGGAACUAUGCCUUACCUCCGAAACCCAAAUUCGUAGUUAAGCUAAAAGUAGGGUGUUUGUUCCCGGCUUUUAGUCGAAAAAACAAUAAUAAACUAAGCAUGUAGAAGGCUGCUGCUUUCCUUGUUUGGACGCGGGUUCGAAUCCCGCCAGCUCCACCA
rnacentral:tmRNA from 3 species